rnacentral:rRNA from 1 species
AUUGAACGCUGGCGGCAGGCUUAACACAUGCAAGUCGAGCGGGGGAAGGUAGCUUGCUACCGGACCUAGCGGCGGACGGGUGGGUAAUGCUUAGGAAUCUGCCUAUUAGUGGGGGACAACAUCUCGAAAGGGAUGCUAAUACCGCAUACGCCCUACGGGAGAAAGCAGGGGAUCUUCGGACCUUGCGCUAAUAGAUGAGCCUAAGUCGGAUUAGCUAGUUGGUGGGGUGAAGGCCUACCAAGGCGACGAUCUGUAGCGGGUCUGAGAGGAUGAUCCGCCACACUGGGACUGAGACACGGCCCAGACUCCUACGGGAGGCAGCAGUGGGGAAUAUUGGACAAUGGGGGGAACCCUGAUCCAGCCAUGCCGCGUGUGUGAAGAAGGCCUUAUGGUUGUAAAGCACUUUAAGCGAGGAGGAGGCUACUCUAGUUAAUACCUAGGGAUAGUGGACGUUACUCGCAGAAUAAGCACCGGCUAACUCUGUGCCAGCCGCCGCCGUAA